GAGGGUAUAGCUCAGUGGUAGAGCAUGUGCUUAGCAUGCGCAAGGUCCUGGGUUCAAUCCCCAGUACCUCCA
rnacentral:tRNA from 1 species